UAAUUAUUAAUUAUUUAUUUCUAUAUAUAGAAAUUAAGUUUCUGUCCAGAAAAAUAAUCAACAGUAAGAAGCUCCCUCAUGUGGAGACACAAGGACUAGACUCUUGUCCGCUCCUUUUUACAAUAAGUAGUGUGUUGCUGCCCUCUGUUGGAUGAAUUACACAUUACAGUAUUAAACACGCAUCUACAGAUACAAAUGUAUUUGAUAUAAUAUCAGAUGAAUAUCUGGAAUAGAAACCAAUGUUUAUUUACAAAUCGUGUCUGAAUAGACCUCUGUUUGUGUACACAAACACUCCAAUUCAUUUUAUAUCAUUAUUAAAGUAAAAAAAAAAUAAAAAAUUGUUCUCUUGUUAGAAUAUCAUAACAUUGUAGUAAAUUUCCCUUAAUGUUAUGCACAUUAUCCCCAAAAUAACUUGAAAUGUUUAGUUCAUUAAAAUUGAUAAAUUUAUAGCAAAAAUCAACUUUCUUUCUGUGUGAGAGUAAAGUUUAGUAAGUGUGUGAAGUGAGCAGUGAUCAGUGCUUGUAUCUGCUGUGUUCAGGUUCAGGUUUGAUGCUGAAUAUAAGCUGCAGUGUUUCUGUAUCAAUCUGCUUUAAGUUUAGUGUGACUUUAUCUCCACACUGACUUCUGACUGACACGAGUCUGUCCUCAGUGAAGUGUCUCUUCACGCUGGAGGAGGAGUCCCGCUCAUCAGCGCUCACACUUUAUUGAUAUAUAUGGAGAAAAUCAAAAUGCUGCUUUUUGAUUUGUCACUGAUUGUGUUUGAUGAUUUCCUCUGUUGUGUCUAAUAAGGUAACAGUGAGUGUCAUUGGCAGCUGUGAGUCUCUCUCUCUCUUUAGGAGGCUGACAGGAGCCAGUUUCUUCAGUGUGUUUGAGGAGCAGACGAGAAACUAGUCAAACAGACGGUGUGACGAGCAGAAAAUGAUGGAAGGAUGCCUGAAACUUGUUUUGCUGUCCUCUAUAAUAACAAUAACAACAUCUGAUUUUGAGACUGUUAGGUUGGUUGGUGGUAACAGUCCCUGCCGUGGUAGAGUGGAGGUUCAUCAUGAUGGUCAGUGGGGAACAGUGUGUGAUGAUCGCUGGGAUAUAACUGAUGCUAAAGUGGUGUGUAGAGAGCUGGACUGUGGAGAGGCUGUGGAGGCUCUGGGUGAUAAAUAAGGCUCACUUUGGACCAGGAUCAGGACAAAUCUGGAUGGAUGAAGUGUCCUGUAGUGGAUCAGAGUCUACACUGAAGAACUGCAGUUCAGGAGGAUGGGGUGUUAGUGACUGUGGUCAUGGUGAAGAUGCUGGAGUCAUCUGCUCAGGUGAGCCUAUUUGGUCUGCUUAAUUGUUUUGUUAAAAAAGCAAAAUAAAGAAUUGAAAUGAUGUUCAUCUUGAUAAUGAAAGAAUUAGCACAUCACACAUGUUUGUUA
rnacentral:lncRNA from 1 species